GGGAAGGUGGCUUAGUAGUAGAGCGCUUGCCUUGCAUGCAAGAGUUUCAAGGAUUUUCCUGCCCA
rnacentral:tRNA from 1 species